UACAUGCAAGUCGAACGCUUCUUUCCUCCCGAGUGCUUGCACUCAAUUGGAAAGAGGAGUGGCGGACGGGUGAGUAACACGUGGGUAACCUACCCAUCAGAGGGGGAUAACACUUGGAAACAGGUGCUAAUACCGCAUAACAGUUUAUGUCGCAUGGCAUAAGAGUGAAAGGCGCUUUCGGGUGUCGCUGAUGGAUGGACCCGCGGUGCAUUAGCUAGUUGGUGAGGUAACGGCUCACCAAGGCCACGAUGCAUAGCCGACCUGAGAGGGUGAUCGGCCACACUGGGACUGAGACACGGCCCAGACUCCUACGGGAGGCAGCAGUAGGGAAUCUUCGGCAAUGGACGAAAGUCUGACCGAGCAACGCCGCGUGAGUGAAGAAGGUUUUCGGAUCGUAAAACUCUGUUGUUAGAGAAGAACAAGGACGUUAGUAACUGAACGUCCCCUGACGGUAUCUAACCAGAAAGCCACGGCUAACUACGUGCCAGCAGCCGCGGUAAUACGUAGGUGGCAAGCGUUGUCCGGAUUUAUUGGGCGUAAAGCGAGCGCAGGCGGUUUCUUAAGUCUGAUGUGAAAGCCCCCGGCUCAACCGGGGAGGGUCAUUGGAAACUGGGAGACUUGAGUGCAGAAGAGGAGAGUGGAAUUCCAUGUGUAGCGGUGAAAUGCGUAGAUAUAUGGAGGAACACCAGUGGCGAAGGCGGCUCUCUGGUCUGUAA
rnacentral:rRNA from 1 species